UUUGGAAAGAAAUUGAUCCUGGCUCAGGAUGAACGCUGGCGGCGUGCCUAAUACAUGCAAGUCGAGCGAACAGACAAGGAGCUUGCUCCUUUGACGUUAGCGGCGGACGGGUGAGUAACACGUGGGUAACCUACCUAUAAGACUGGGAUAACUUCGGGAAACCGGAGCUAAUACCGGAUAAUAUUUCGAACCGCAUGGUUCGAUAGUGAAAGAUGGUUUUGCUAUCACUUAUAGAUGGACCCGCGCCGUAUUAGCUAGUUGGUAAGGUAACGGCUUACCAAGGCGACGAUACGUAGCCGACCUGAGAGGGUGAUCGGCCACACUGGAACUGAGACACGGUCCAGACUCCUACGGGAGGCAGCAGUAGGGAAUCUUCCGCAAUGGGCGAAAGCCUGACGGAGCAACGCCGCGUGAGUGAUGAAGGUCUUCGGAUCGUAAAACUCUGUUAUUAGGGAAGAACAUACAUGUAAGUAACUAUUGCACGUCUUGACGGUGGCUAAGUAGAAACCCAUGCACUCCACUCAU
rnacentral:rRNA from 1 species